GACGAACGCUGGCGGCGUGCUUAACACAUGCAAGUCGAACGGAAAGGCCCUGCUUUUGUGGGGUGCUCGAGUGGCGAACGGGUGAGUAACACGUGAGUAACCUGCCCUUGACUUUGGGAUAACUUCAGGAAACUGGGGCUAAUACCGGAUAGGAGCUCCUGCUGCAUGGUGGGGGUUGGAAAGUUUCGGCGGUUGGGGAUGGACUCGCGGCUUAUCAGCUUGUUGGUGGGGUAGUGGCUUACCAAGGGUUUGACGGGUAGCCGGCCUGAGAGGGUGACCGGCCACAAGGGGACUGAGAGACGGCGCAGACUCCUACGGGAGGCAGCAGUGGGGAAUAUGGCACAAUGGGCGGAAGCGUGAUGCAGCAACGCCGCGUGCGGGAUGACGGCCUUCGGGUUGUAAACCGCUUUCGACUGUGACGAAGCGUGAGUGACGGUAAUGGGUAAAGAAGCACCGGCUAACUACGUG
rnacentral:rRNA from 1 species